CCUACGGGGGGCAGCAGUGGGGAAUAUUGCACAAUGGGGGAAACCCUGAUGCAGCGACGCCGCGUGAGAGAAGAAGUAUUUCGGAAUGUAAAGCUCUAUCAGCAGGGACGAAAAUGACGGUACCUGAUUAAGAAGCCCCGGCUAACUACGUGCCAGCAGCCGCGGUAAUACGUAGGGGGCAAGCGUUGUCCGGAUUUACUGGGUGUAAAGGGAGCGUAGGCGGCAGCGCAAGUCUGAAGUGAAAAGCCUGGGCUUAACCCCGAAACUGCUUUGGAAACUGUGCAGCUAGAGUGCAGGAGAGGUAAGUGGAAUUCCUAGUGUAGCGGUGAAAUGCGUAGAUAUUAGGAGGAACACCAGUGGCGAAGGCGGCUUACUGGACUUUAACUGACGUUGAGGCUCGAAAGCGUGGGGAGCAAACAGGAUUAGAUACCCUUGUAGUC
rnacentral:rRNA from 1 species